GCAGAUUGGCAAUAGCAGAGCUGGGAGGUUCGAAAUUUUUUGAAGGACCAGAUGGAGCAAAGGUUUUCAGACAUGAUCUUCAACUUGUGGAAAAGGGGCAAUACAUGAUUGUGGGAAGGCUGUUGGCUAUGUCACUCGCUCAGGACGGACCAGGUUUUCACUGCUUGAAUAAGCAGCUUUUUGCAAUGAUGACGGGUCGUGAAGGGGAGACAACUGCUCCUGAUGAAAUCACGGACCCCGAUAUUAAGGAAUGUCUUGAAAUGUUGGAGAAAAUCACCGACGUUCAGAAAAGGGAUCAGUUCUUGGCAAAGUUCGGGGACUGGCUGGCUGACAGAGGGAUCAACCCUUAUAGAAUGGCCGUGGCGGACAAGGAGUCCAUGAAGGAGAUGGUUAUAAAGUACCACGUCUUUUAUAGAACAUCAUCCGAGAUUGCCCAAUUUAAGAAUGGCAUGGAUGACGUAUGCAGCAUGUGGGGGAUGGUAACAAAACAUGUAAGUGUAUUCCAACCGCUGUUUUGCAAUCUUCCUAAACCUCUAAUGAAACAGGAGAUGGACAGAAUCAUUCGGUAUGAUUUCAGUGAACUCGGAUCUAAUGCCAGGACGUCUGAAGAUGAAACUGUCUACGCAUGGGAGCUCUUUUUGCAGGACAUUGAAGAUGGAAUUGUUCCCACAACCAUGGCAGAAUUGCUGUCGUUCAUUUCCGGAGCGGCCAGCAUUCCCCCCUGUGGCUUUCAAAAGCCGAUUGAGAUACAUUUCUAUAUGCAAGAAGACGGAGUGACCCGUCUUCCAUAUGCAUCGACAUGUUCUCUGGACUUGUGGCUGCCUAGAGGACAGACACCCGAGAACUUAUCUACCCUUCUAUUGAAGAGUGUUAAUGAGUCGAUGGGAUUUUUUUUUAAUAUGAAAAUUGCUAUAAAAAAAGGUUAAAGUACAAAAAACAUACUCGGAUUCUUUUUAUGCCCCCAGAACCUAUGGUCUGGAGGCAUAUUAAAAUCGCACCGUUCGUAAGUCCGUCCGGAGUAGUUUCCACUCAAUAAAUCAAGUAGUUUUCAUCUGAUCUUCACCAAUAGGUCAGAAGUUGUAUCUAGAUGAUGUCUAGGCCUAGUUCGAAGAAGGGUCAUGCCGGAUCAAAAACUAGGUCACAGGGUCACGUAGUGCGUUUUAAACAUUCAGCAAGGUUUCCGCUUAAUAAGUCAAGUAGUUUUCAUUCGACCUUCACCAAACGUGGUCAGAAGAUGAUCUCUAGGCCAAGUUUAUAGAUGGAUCAUGCUGGGUCAAAAACUAGGUCAAGGUGUCACUUAGUGCGUUUGAAACAUUCAGCAUGGUUUCUGCUCAAUAUUUCAAGUAGUUUUCAUCCGAUCGUCACCAAACGUGGUCAGAAGUUGUCUCUAGAUGAUCUCUGGACCAAGUUGAAACAUGGGUCAUGCCGGGUCAAAAACUAGGUCACGGUGUCACUAAGUGCGUUUGAAACAUUCAGCAUGGUUUCUGCUCAAUAAUUCAAGUAGUUUUCGUCCGAUCUUCACCAAACGUGGUCAGAAGUUGUCUCUAGAUGAUCUCUAGACCAAGUUGAAACAUGGGUCAUGCCGGGUAAAAAACUAGGUCACGGUGUCACUUAAUGCGUUUGAAACAUUCAGCAUUGUUUCUGCUCAAUAAUUUAAGUACUUUGUAUCCGAUCUUCACCAAACAUGGUCAGAAGUUGUCUCUAGAUGAUCUCUAGGCCAAGUUGAAACAUGGGUCAUGCCGGGUCAAAAACUAGGUCACGGGGUCACUUAGUGCGUUUUAAACAUUCAGGUUAUGCUUUAAUGCAGUGACAAAGAUCCGUGUCGUGUAGACAUAUUUCUUGUUUUAUUAUUAUUUACAUUUUUUAUGCACACAUGCACAUGUAUGUAUGUAUGUUUUAAGAUUCUCACUAAAGUGAGACCAUUUUGGUGGAUUUGUCCAAACUUGUGUGUUGGGGGCAUGCAUGUUAAAUUGAUAAAUUAUUGGUUAUUUACUAGAUGACAAUAAAGGCUUGCUUUAAUGUGAGUGCAUACAGAAAAUCAUUAAAAAACAACAUUUUUUUCUGUUUAAGGAACAAAACAUGAGAUAUUAUCACAGCCAGUUUAUGGUCUUGUAAAAGCUUUUACAUUAAUUUUGUUUAUAUUGUGACAAUUUGUUCUUGUUUUGUAUAGUUUGUGUUUUUUAUCAAAGUCAAUAACUUAAGCACUCUUAAAGAUAUUAAAAUCAAAUUAGGAAUAGUUUGUCACCGUCAUUAAAAAUUAAUUGAUUUAAGUUUUAAUUCUUGACUAACAAAUGAUUCAGUUAUUCCCCUUACAAAAUGAAGAAAAAUAAAUCUCUAGUUUUUUCGAAGACACCGAUUUUUUAAGUUACGAAUUUUGUUGUUCCUAAUCUUCCUGAUGGCCAAGUCCCUUUUGGCUUUGCAUAUGUACGUUUUAAUUAUUGCUGUUUUCAGUCAACAAAGAAGUUCUCUGACAAACACCUAUCGUAGUGUGUCAAGUACAUGACUGCGCUCUGACCCUAUAAUUGUUUCAGAAUUAAUGUUAAGUUGGUUUAUGUUUGUACUUAAAUCUAAUUGGAUAAAAUUAGUUAUUUAGUUCAUGUUUAAGUAUGUGAUUCAGUCUGUGAUUUAUUGUUAUAAAAAAUAAAAAUCUUUAAAAA